rnacentral:rRNA from 1 species
UACGUAGGGGGCAAGCGUUGUUCGGAAUUACUGGGCGUAAAGGGCUCGUAGGCGGCCAACUAAGUCGGACGUGAAAUCCCUCGGCUUAACCGGGGAACUGCGUCCGAUACUGGAUGGCUUGAGUUUGGGAGAGGGAUGCGGAAUUCCAGGUGUAGCGGUGAAAUGACGUAGAUAUCUGGAGGAACACCGGUGGCGAAGGCGGCAUCCUGGACCAAUUACUGACGCUGACGUGAGCGAAAGCCAGGGGAGC